rnacentral:rRNA from 1 species
CUACGGGAGGCAGCAGUAGGGAAUCUUCCGCAAUGGACGAAAGUCUGACGGAGCAACGCCGCGUGAGCGAAGAAGGUCUUCGGAUCGUAAAGCUCUGUUGUUAGGGAAGAACAAGUAUCGGAGGAAAUGCCGGUACCUUGACGGUACCUGACGAGAAAGCCACGGCUAACUACGUGCCAGCAGCCGCGGUAAU